GACGAACGCUGGCGGCGUGCUUAACACAUGCAAGUCGAACGGGCCUGCCUGGCUUUGGUUGGGUGGGUGAGUGGCGAACGGGUGAGUAACACGUGAGUAACCUGCCCUCUUCUCUUGGAUAACUGCUUGAAAGGGCGGCUAAUACGGGAUGUUCUGGCUGCCUCGCAUGGGGUGGUUUGGAAAGAUUCGGCCUGGUUUUGGUUGUUUUGGUGGGGGAUGGGCUCGCGGCUUAUCAGCUUGUUGGUGGGGUGAUGGCCUACCAAGGCGGUGACGGGUAGCCGGCCUGAGAGGGUGGACGGUCACACUGGGACUGAGACACGGCCCAGACUCCUCGGGAGGCAGCAGUGGGGGAUUUUGCACAAUGGGCGCAAGCCUGAUGCAGCGACGCCGCGUGAGGGAUGGAGGCCUUCGGGUUGUGAACCUCUGUCGCCGGUGAUGUAGGCUC
rnacentral:rRNA from 1 species